rnacentral:pre_miRNA from 1 species
UAUAUACUCCCUUCAUUCGGAAUUACUUGUCAUAAAAUUGGAUGUAUCUAUAUGUAUUUUAGUUGUAGACACAUUCAUUUCUGCAGCAAGAAAUUUAGGAUGGAGGGAGUAACAA